rnacentral:rRNA from 1 species
UGGCUACCACAUCUACGGAAGGCAGCAGGCGCGCAAAUUACCCACUCCUAGAACGGGGAGGUAGUGACGAAAAAUAACAAUACCGGACUCAAUGAGGCUCGGUAAUUGAAAUGAGUACAGUUUAAAACCCUUAACGAGGAUCUAUUGGAGGGCAAGUCUGGUGCCAGCAGCCGCGGUAAUUCCAGCUCCAAUAGCGUAUAUUAAAGUUGUUGCAGUUAAAAAGCUCGUAGUUGGAUCUCGGGUACUAGCAUGUGGUACGCUUAAUUGCUGUUACUACAUGUCUGGUCCUAAUCAACCGGUUGGCCGUUGAUGUCCUUUAUUGGGUGUUUUCGGUAGCCGGUACGUUUACUUUGAGAAAAUUAGAGUGCUUAAAGCAGGCCUUACGCCUGAAUAAUGUUGCAUGGAAUAAUAGAAUAGGACCUCGGUUCUGUUUUGUUGGUUUUGUAGAGCAUUGAGGUAAUGAUUAAUAGGGACAGACGGGGGCAUUCGUAUUGCGGUGUUAGAGGUGAAAUUCUUGGAUCGCCGCAAGACGAACAACUGCGAAAGCAUUUGCCAAGAAUGUUUUCAUUGAUCAAGAGCGAAAGUUGGAGGUUCGAAGACGAUUAGAUACCGUCCUAGUUCCAACCAUAAACGAUGCCAACUAGCGAUUAGCUGCCGUUAAUUUAACGACACAGCUAGCAGCUUCCGGGAAACCAAAGUUUUUGGGUUCCGGGGGAAGUAUGGUUGCAAAGCUGAAACUUAAAGGAAUUGACGGAAGGGCACCACCAGGAGUGGAGCCUGCGGCUUAAUUUGACCCAACACGGGAAAUCUCACCCGGCCCGGACACUGUAAGGAUUGACAGAUUGAGAGCUCUUUCUUGAUUCGGUGGGUGGUGGUGCAUGGCCGUUCUUAGUUGGUGGAGCGAUUUGUCUGGUUAAUUCCGAUAACGAACGAGACUCUAGCCUGCUAAAUAGUACGCCGAUCAUUAGUCGGCGCGUACUUCUUAGAGGGACAAGUAGCGGUAAGCUACACGAAAUUGAGCAAUAACAGGUCUGUGAUGCCCUUAGAUGUUCGGGGCCGCACGCGCGCUACACUGAAGGGAUAAGCGUGUUUUUCCUGCUCCGAAAGGAGUGGGCAACCCGCUGAAACCCCUUCGUGAUUGGGAUCGGGGCUUGAAAUUAUUCUCCGUGAACGAGGAAUUCCCAGUAAGCGCGAGUCAUAAGCUCGCGUUGAUACGUCCCUGCCCUUUGUACACACCGCCCGUCGCUACUACCGAUUGAAUGGUUUAGUGAGAUCUUCGGAUUGGUCCGGAGGUGGCCGCAAGGUCGCCUCUAGGUGCCGAGAAGAUGAUCAAACUUGAUCAUUAAGAGGAAGUAAAAGUCGUAACAAGGUU